AUUGAACGCUGGCGGCAGGCCUAACACAUGCAAGUCGAGCGGGGUUUUCGGACCUAGCGGCGGACGGGUGAGUAAUGCGUAGGAAGCUACCCGAUAGAGGGGGAUACCAGUUGGAAACGACUGUUAAUACCGCAUAAUGUCUACGGACCAAAGUGUGGGACCUUCGGGCCACAUGCUAUCGGAUGCGCCUACGUGGGAUUAGCUAGUUGGUGGGGUCAUGGCUCACCAAGGCGACGAUCCCUAGCUGGUUUGAGAGGAUGAUCAGCCACACUGGAACUGAGACACGGUCCAGACUCCUACGGGAGGCAGCAGUGGGGAACAUUGGACAAUGGGCGCAAGCCUGAUCCAGCCAUGCCGCGUGUGUGAAGAAGGCCUUCGGGUUGUAAAGCACUUUCAGUAGGGAGGAAGGGUGUUGUGUUAAUAGCACAGCAUUUUGACGUUACCUACAGAAGAAGCACCGGCUAACUCUGUGCCAGCCGCCGCCGUAAGAC
rnacentral:rRNA from 1 species